rnacentral:misc_RNA from 1 species
GAUGAAGAACGUAGCAAAAUGCGAUAAGUAAUGUGAAUUGCAGAAUUCAGUGAAUCAUCGAAUCUUUGAACGCACAUUGCGCCCACCAGUAUUCUGGCGGGCAUGCCUGUUCGAGCGUCAUUUCAACCCUCAAGCCCUCGGGUUUGGUGUUGGGGAUCGGCGAGCCUUUCUGGCAAGCCGGCCCCGAAAUCUAGUGGCGGUCUCGCUGCAGCCUCCAUUGCGUAGUAGUAAAACCCUCGCAACUGGAACGCGGCGCGGCCAAGCCGUUAAACCCCCAACUUCUGAAUGUUGACCUCGGAUCAGGUAGGAAUACCCGCUGAACUUAAGCAUAUCAAUAAGCGGAGGA